rnacentral:rRNA from 1 species
GAUGAACGCUGGCGGCGUGCCUAAUACAUGCAAGUCGAGCGGACGGACGCGAAGCUUGCUUCUCUCAUGUUAGCGGCGGACGGGUGAGUAACGCGUGGAUACCCUACCUGUAAGUCGGGUAUAACUUCGGGAAACCGUAGCUUAUACCGGAUGAUAUUUUGAACCGCAUGGGUCAAUAGUGAAAUUCGGUCUUUCUGUCACUUCUAGAUGGAUCCGGGCUUCAUUAGCUAGUUGGUAGGGUAACGGCUUACCAAGGCAACGAUGCGUAGCCGACCGGUGAGGGUGGUCGGCCACACUGGAGGGUAGACGCGGUCCAGACUCCUGCGGGAGGCAGCAGUAGGGAAUGUUCCGCAACGGGCGAAAGCAUGACGGAGCGACGCCGCGCGAGAGGUGGAGGUCCUGGGAUCGUAAAACUCUGUUAUUAGGGGAGAACAGCUGUGUAAGGAACUGUGGCGAUCUUGACGGUACCUAAUAAGAAAGCCACGGCUAACUACGUG